UAACAUUCUUCAUUUUGAAAUGGUAGGCAUCUUUAUAAAAAGCUGAAAACAUAUAACAAUGUCCACAAAAUCAGAUUUGUUAAUCCACACAUUAUCCCAUAUGUGGCAUGUGUGACUCGACUGGACAAAAACAGCAAAUUCGAGCAGUUGAAUGAAAGAGCUAGUGUUUUGGCAGAUAAGCUGAGUCAAGCAUCAAGAAAUCAACUUGUUUUGGUGCCACAUAAUGUUGGUUAUCAUUGGAUUCUCACUGUCAUUGAUCCAUAUAAGGAGACAGUUUAUUUGUUGGAUUCGCUUAGUCAUCGCAUUCGUGACGAGGAUUGGAAAUACGUAGUAGAUAUGAGCAUAAGAUUGUUUAAUUCAAACAAGGCAAAAAAAGGGAAAAAACAUGUUACAUGGGAAGUAGUAAAGGGCCCUCGCCAACCAGAUGCGAAACAGUGUGGUUUUUAUGUGAUGAGAUAUAUGAGAGAUAUUAUU